rnacentral:tRNA from 1 species
GGCUCCGUGGUGUAGUUGGUAUCGCAUUGGCCUAGAAUGCCGAAGACGCUGGUUCCAGCCGGUGCCC